CCUGAAAUGUUAUAUUUGAUUAGAAUAUGUGUUAAUUACUUAAGCUAAACAAUCUGUUCCACAUUGUAGCUAGCUGUGACACUUUGAGUAUCUUUCCCAGACUUGAAGAAGAGCUCUGUGUAGCUUGAAAGCUUCUCUCUUUCACCAACAGAAGUUGGUCCUAUAAAGGAUAUUACUGUACCCACCUAGUUUUUCUAAGGGCAUGUCUACACUGGCAAAG